rnacentral:rRNA from 1 species
AGGCUUAACACAUGCAAGUCGAGGGGCAGCAUGUCUUAGCUUGCUAAGGCCGAUGGCGACCGGCGCACGGGUGAGUAACGCGUAUCCAACCUGCCUUACACUCUUGGACAGCCUUCUGAAAGGGAGAUUAAUACAAGAUGUUAUCAUGAGUAAGCAUUUUCGCAUGAUUAAAGGUUUACCGGUGUAAGAUGGGGAUGCGUUCCAUUAGAUAGUAGGCGGGGUAACGGCCCACCUAGUCUUCGAUGGAUAGGGGUUCUGAGAGGAAGGUCCCCCACAUUGGAACUGAGACACGGUCCAAACUCCUACGGGAGGCAGCAGUGAGGAAUAUUGGUCAAUGGACGAGAGUCUGAACCAGCCAAGUAGCGUGAAGGAUGAAGGUUCUAUGGAUUGUAAACUUCUUUUAUAAAGGAAUAAAGUCGGGUAUGGAUACCCGUUUGCAUGUACUUUAUGAAUAAGGAUCGGCUAACUCCGUGCCAGCAGCCGCGGUAAUACGGAGGAUCCGAGCGUUAUCCGGAUUUAUUGGGUUUAAAGGGAGCGUAGAUGGAUGUUUAAGUCAGUUGUGAAAGUUUGCGGCUCAACCGUAAAAUUGCAGUUGAUACUGGAUAUCUUGAGUGCAGUUGAGGCAGGCGGAAUUCGUGGUGUAGCGGUGAAUGCUUAGAUAUCACGAAGAACUCCGAUUGCGAAGGCAG